ensembl:snRNA U6 U6 spliceosomal RNA
GUGCUCCCUUCGGCGGCACAUAUACUAAAAUUGGAACGAUACAGAGAAGAUUAGCAUGGCCCCUCCGCAAGGAUGACUCGCAAAUUUGUGAGGCGUUCCACAUUAAA